GCAACGAUAGCUUAAACUAAAGCAUUGGUCUUGUAAGCCAAAGAUGAGCUCAAAUACUCUCGUUGCU
rnacentral:tRNA from 1 species